UACAGGGGGGGCAAGCGUUGUUCGGAAUUACUGGGCGUAAAGGGCUCGUAGGCGGCCAACUAAGUCACACGUGAAAUCCCCAGGCUUAACCUGGGAACUGCGUGUGAUACUGGAUGGCUUGAAUCCGGGAGAGGGAUGCAGAAUUCCAGGUGUAGCGGUGAAAUGCGUAGAGAUCGGGAGGAACACCAGAGGCGAAGGCGGCGACCUGGACAAUUACUGACACUCAACUGCGAAAGCGUGGGGAGCAAACAGG
rnacentral:rRNA from 1 species